AUGCGCGCCUACCAUGCAAGUCGAACGGUAGCACACAGGAGCUUGCUCCUUGGGUGACGAGUGGCGGACGGGUGAGUAAUGUCUGGGAAACUGCCCGAUGGAGGGGGAUAACUACUGGAAACGGUAGCUAAUACCGCAUAACGUCGCAAGACCAAAGAGGGGGACCUUCGGGCCUCUUGCCAUCGGAUGUGCCCAGAUGGGAUUAGCUAGUAGGUGGGGUAACGGCUCACCUAGGCGACGAUCCCUAGCUGGUCUGAGAGGAUGACCAGCCACACUGGAACUGAGACACGGUCCAGACUCCUACGGGAGGCAGCAGUGGGGAAUAUUGCACAAUGGGCGCAAGCCUGAUGCAGCCAUGCCGCGUGUAUGAAGAAGGCCUUCGGGUUGUAAAGUACUUUCAGCGAGGAGGAAGGGGAUGUGGUUAAUAACCGCAUUCAUUGACGUUACUCGCAAAGAAGCACCGGCUAACUCCGUGCCAGCAGCCGCGGUAAUACGGAGGGUGCAAGCGUUAAUCGGAAUUACUGGGCGUAAAGCGCACGCAGGCGGUCUGUCAAGUCGGAUGUGAAAUCCCCGGGCUCAACCUGGGAACUGCAUCCGAAACUGGCAGGCUAGAGUCUUGUAGAGGGGGGUAGAAUUCCAGGUGUAGCGGUGAAAUGCGUAGAGAUCUGGAGGAAUACCGGUGGCGAAGGCGGCCCCCUGGACAAAGACUGACGCUCAGGUGCGAAAGCGUGGGGAGCAAACAGGAUUAG
rnacentral:rRNA from 1 species